rnacentral:rRNA from 1 species
UACGUAGGGGGCGAGCGUUGUCCGGAUUUAUUGGGCGUAAAGAGCUCGUAGGCGGUUUGGUAAGUUGGAUGUGAAAUCUCCCGGCUCAACUGGGAGGGUGCGCCGAAUACUGAGUGACUAGAGUGCGGGAGAGGAGAGUGGAAUUCCUGGUGUAGCGGUGAAAUGCGUAGAUAUCAGGAGGAACACCGGUGGUGUAGACGGCUCUCUGGACCGUAACUGACGCUGAGACACGAAAGCGUGGGUAGCAAACAGG